UGAAUGCAGGACUGAGUGUGGGAAAUGAUAAGAUGUGUGCUUUUUUUUUAUGCAAAUGAUGUAGCGGUCAUGAGUGAAUUGGCAGAUGAGCUUCAAAGUUUGUUUGAUGUUGUAGAUGGAAGGGGCUUUGGUGUGAGAUUUGGCAGUGAGGAAAGCAAGGUAAUGAUAGUGAAUAGAUCAGAGGUUGAAGGAAAUUCAGCGUGGAGACUGGGAAGGAAUGGGUUGCAACAGACAGAUGAAUACAAGUACCUGGGGAUGUGAGUCAGCAGGUAGAAUGAGAAGAAUGAAUGCAGGACUGAGUGUGGGAAAUGAUAAGAUAUGUGUGCUUUUUUAUGCAGAUGAUGUAGUGGUCAUGAGUGAAUUGGCAGAUGAGCUUCAAAGUUUGUUUGAUGUUGUAGAUGGGUAUGGAAGGGGCUUUAGUGUGAGAUUUGGCAGUGAGAAAAGCAAGAAGUUGCCGAUAUAAAAGCCUGGCUCAGGAAUAGUCCCGAGCCACCUGUAGCAUCAAGAUCAGAAUCAAGAUUGUGAAAUAUUAAAUAUUAAAUAUAAAUAUGAAGCUAGGACAUCCACUGGCCAAGUGGAUGAGGGCGAGGCAGGUGUGUUGUGUGGACGAGGCAUGACGAGGAGGACCCACUGAUGUCGGUGAACAUGGAAGAGAAGAGACUAACCAGGCCCAAAUUGAUGAUAACUUCAGAAAAGAACUGCUUGGAAAUGCCAAGAACCUGCACAACAGCACUUUUCCGAGGUUUACAACAACAGAGACUUGACUUACAAACAAAGGCAAGAACUAAAAGCCAGACGUGCUGAAAGGACAAACAAGACUGGAACAGCAGGACCCUCUCAUCCUAGUAAAAGGAAGAUAUGUCAACCCCCAAACAGGGCUGAUCAUAUUACUACCAGGAGAUCCAAAACUAGGAGUACUUGUAUUCAACUUGUUUGAAAUUAAUUACAUACGUGCAAUAUUUGUCUUGCUUUCCAUGCUAUCUUCAUAAAUUUCAAUUAAACAUCCUGAACCACACUUACAUAUUUCUAAUUGAUACUUAACUUCUUCAAUAUGUUGAAAUAGCAUCAAAUUUGAUGCUGGAUAAAAAAAACGCUAAACUGCUCAACACAAAAUUAAGGUACUAGAUUUAUAUAAAAAGUGCUAGAUCUAGCACAAAAAAGUGCUGACUUGGCAACUCUGUCUACCACAUUUUGCUGCAGGGUUCAUGCCAUCUGUGAUCCCUCGUAUUCACAUCCACACACUGACCUAGCUCAGAAGAGAUCACCACCCAGGCUUUCAUCAUACCACUUUUCAUACAUCAGGGCCUCUUUCUCCUUGCACCAUUCCAGAGUCUUCUUUUGUUCCAUCUUCAUUCACUCCUAAACACUUCACUGCUUUAUCUCUUUUUUCCAUUCAUUCAGUCCUACACACUUCACUGCUCUAUCUAUCUCACUCUUCCACUUUCUUACAUACCACUCAAAUCCCUCUCUGUUUCUCCAGUCAUGCAGAACCUGUCUCCCUUUAAAAGUCAGUACUCACACUCAUCUUCUGUACCAUCUUAACACACUUCCUCCCUCAUUUAGUGCUGCCUACAAUCCAUACAUACACUUUUCUCACUCAUCUCAUAUCCUCCAUUUGCUCUAUUCUUGCUUUAUACCUCAGGGUCACAUUCAUAUACCUUUCCCUAAACAUGCUGCAUUCUAUGUCACCUCUCAGAGCUUCUCCUGCUGUGUACCUGUGUACCUAGGUGCAUUCAGUGCAAUCCUUGCUACUGUAUUCUUCCCCAUUUCCAACUUCUCUAAUUCACUUUCAUGCCACACAACACAACCAUAUCACACAUAGCACUCAGCACCGCCACACUCUUCCACACUUCUCUCAGCAUGUCAUACUUACUUUCUCUCAUCCUUGCUGCACUUCCCAGUCAACCCACCCAUUGGUUCACCAUGCUUAUCUUUUCACUCUGCCUUUUCACACCUAUUCAGACUCACCCACAUCCCUAAGUACUUGUAUUCUUGUGCCUGCUUCAAUUCAUUCUCUCCAAGUCUCCAUAUUGCAAUUCUUUCAUCCUCUGACCUACUCACAGUUAUAACAGUGUUAUGUUCACUGCUAAAUCUCACUCCACAGUCUCUUCCAUACUCAUCCACCACAUCUAACAAGUUCUUGAGGUCUUCUGUUAAUUCACUCAUAACCACCACAUCUACAUAUAACACCAUGCAUACCUCAUCAUUCCCAACUCUUACUCCUGCAUUCGUUCCUCUCAUCCUGACUGCUAACUCCACUGUGUACAAGCUAAAGAGGGUUGGUGACAAGAUGCACCCUUGUCUAACUCUUUUCUCACUCUACACCCAGUCUGUUAAUCUGUACUUGGCUCUCAUGUCAACAUACAUACUUCUUACUAUGUUAACUAUCUUUUCACUCAACCCAAUCUUUUCUAAGACCCUGGUCCACUUUUUUAAACAUCAUAUUAGUAAUUACAAAAGCAGCAAACCCCAUAAUUGUAUAUGGUU